rnacentral:lncRNA from 1 species
UGGUGGAUAAAAUUAAAGAUGAGUGAAAUAGGGGGGAAAUGGAAUUACAUAGGUGGCAGGAUACAACAAAUUUAAUCAUGGGGAGUAGUGAUCUGUGAUUUUCCUUUAAGUUAGCUCAAGCAUGAACAUACAAAACAUUAAAUAAGAAAGAGCAGAGUAAAUCAACUCUCAACAGCAUGCAAAAUUGUUAGGCAGCCCAUUUUUAAGAGAACAACGACCUGCAAUGUUCCAUGCUAUACUAGGCAAUAAGAAUCAUUCAUGUCCCUCUUCUAAAGAGGUGUCAUCAAUUAUUAGGAGCUUCAUUGCAGUAAUACAGGAACCAAUAUUGUUCAGAAGUAUACAUUCAUGUCCCUCUUCUAAAGAGGUGUCAUCAAUUAUUAGGAGCUUCACUGCAGUAAUACAGGAACCAAUAUUGUUCAGAAGUAUACAUUUCUGAAGUGUUUUGAAUUGUGAACCUAGUAAUUGCCAAUAUAAAUGUAUGCAUAAUGAAAUAUGCUGGGGGAAAAAAUGUGAAUGGUCUCAUAUUACAUCGUGAAGGCCGUGAAGGAAAAAACACUUGUGAGUUCCAAACGAAACCUCUGCCAAUUGG